rnacentral:tRNA from 1 species
GCGGGAAUAGCUCAGCUGGUAGAGCAAUGGCCUUCCAAGCCAUUUGUCGCGGGUUCGAACCCCGUUUCCCGCUCCA